UACGUAGGGUGCAAGCGUUGUCCGGAAUCAUUGGGCGUAAAGAGCGCGUAGGCGGCCCAGUAAGUCCGCUCUGAAAGUCAGGGGCUCAACCCCUGGAUGCGGGUGGAGUACUGCUGGGCUAGAGUCCGGAAGAGGAGAGUGGAAUUCCGUGGUGUGAGCGGUGAAAUGCGCAGAUAUCAGGAAGAACACCCGUGGCUAAGGCGGCUCUCUAGUACGGUACUGACGCUGAGACGCGAAAGCGUGGGGAGCGAACAGGGAUUAAGAUACCCG
rnacentral:rRNA from 1 species